rnacentral:rRNA from 1 species
ACGGCGAGUGAAAGGGGAGAAGCUCAGCGUGUAGCCUCGGGGAUGCCCUCCAUGUGAGUGUGUUAAUCCUACGAUGGGAUGCCACGUAUGGGAGAAUGCUAGAAGAGUCCGCGACCCGGCAAUCCGAACUGUUUGAUGAAACAUUGCCCAGAGAGGGUGUUAGGCCCGUAGGACCGUUGCGUCGUGACUUUUCAUGGCUUUCUCUCGAGAGUCGGGUUGUUUGAGAAUACAGCCUUAAGAGGUGGGAAACUCCAUCUAAAGCUAAAUACUACUGCGAGACCGAUAGCGAACAAGUACCGUGAGGGAAAGUUGAAAAGGACUCUGAAGAGAGGGUUCAAGAGAGCGUGAAACUGCCACGGGGAUAAAGCGGAUACAUUAGCGUAGUCGAAAAGGGAGAUACAACUCGUUGAUUGCCGACCUCUCGAUGCGUCGGUCGUGAAGAAUUCUCCCGAGAUUCGGUUUAUGCCGAGUUUCGGUUCUCGAUUUUUCGUGGCCGCGCUCGAGUAAUGCGUAUGCGCACUAACGAGUCUACUUCACACCUUAGUAGGCCGUCGCGACGGUUGGAAUAGUUGUCAAAGGCUUGGGAGGUCUCGGGAACCUUUCGUCUCGAUUUUCGGGUUUACGCUCGUCGAUCGCGGACGAAGGGGAACGCUUCCUCGAAUUUACUGGCGGACUUUCCGACCGGAGAAAUAGACGUUGUGUCUUCUUUUAUUAGGAGAGUGAACGUGAGUGCGGCGCUUAUAGCGAUCAAUUUAUCCGUCCCGUCUUGAAACACGGACCAAGGAGUCUAACAUGCACGCGAGUCAAAGGGCCUACUAAACCCCUAGGCGUAAUGAAAGUAAAAUGGAUUGAUCCGUGCUACCCUUUUAUUAGGGACCGGCGCAAAUCCGGGACCCGUCUUACUGCUUUUCCUCGGAAUCGUUCAUGUGGCGGGUACCUCGAGCGUACAUGUUGGUACCCGAAAGAUGGUGAUCUAUGCUUGGCCGGGAUGAAGCCAGAGGA